UACGGGGGGGGCAAGCGUUGUUCGGAAUUACUGGGCGUAAAGGGCUCGUAGGUGGCCAACUAAGUCAGACGUGAAAUCCCUCGGCUUAACCGGGGAACUGCGUCUGAUACUGGAUGGCUUGAGUUUGGGAGAGGGACGCGGAAUUCCAGGUGUAGCGGUGAAAUGCGUAGAUAUCUGGAGGAACACCGGUGGCGAAGGCGGCAUUCUGGACCGACAUUGACGCUGAGGAGCGAAAGCCAGGGGAGCAAACGGG
rnacentral:rRNA from 1 species